CUAGAGUUCUGAUCUGUGGUCAAAUAAGGGAAAUGGUGGAAAUGAAGUCAUAUUUUUUGUGCAUUUGAGUCAGGGACAGUACCAUGCGUUUUACAUUCACUUAUUUAAUUUUGAUGACAAUGUUACUAUCCUCAUUUUACAGACUGGGAAUACAGUCUCCAGGGAGAUUAAAUAAUUUGCCCCAUGUCACACUGGACUUCCUCUGCAAUGCCUGCUAGCAGAGAGAGAGGAGGAAGCAAGUUCCCCGCUGAGCAAAGAACCCAAUGUGGGGCUCGAUCCCAGGACCC
rnacentral:lncRNA from 1 species